rnacentral:rRNA from 1 species
UGGGGAAUAUUGGGCAAUGGGCGAAAGCCUUACCCAGCAACGCCGCGUGAGGGAAGAAGGUUUUCGGAUUGUAAACCUCUGUCCUGGGGGACGAAGGAAGUGACGGUACCCCGGGAGGAAGCCCCGGCUAACUACGUGCCAGCAGCCGCGGUAAUACGUAGGGGGCGAGCGUUGUCCGGAAUUAUUGGGCGUAAAGGGCGCGUAGACGGCCGAGUAAGUUAUAGGUGAAAGCCCAUCUUUCAAAGGAUGGAAUUGCCUGUAAUACUGCCUGGCUUGAGUGCAGGAGAGGGAAGCGGAAUUCCUAGUGUAGCGGUGAAAUGCGUAGAUAUUAGGAGGAACACCAGUGGCGAAGGCGGCUUUCUGGACUGUAACUGACGUUGAGGCGCGAAAGCGUGGGGAGCAAACAGGAUUAGAUACC